GUAACCUCAAGCCUCGCUUGGUAUUGGGCGACGCGGUCCGCCGCGCGCCUCAAAUCGACCGGCUGGGUCUUCUGUCCCCUCAGCGUUGUGGAAACUAUUCGCUAAAGGGUGCCACGGGAGGCCACGCCGAAAAACAAACCCAUUUCUAA
rnacentral:misc_RNA from 1 species